UACAGAGGUCCCAAGCGUUGUUCGGAUUCAUUGGGCGUAAAGGGUGCGUAGGUGGCGCCGUAAGUCGGGUGUGAAAUUUCGGAGCUCAACUCCGAAACUGCAUUCGAUACUGCGGUGCUUGAGGACUGGAGAGGAGACUGGAAUUCAUGGUGUAGCAGUGAAAUGCGUAGAGAUCAUGAGGAAGACCAGUGGCGAAGGCGGGUCUCUGGACAGUUCCUGACACUGAGGCACGAAGGCCAGGGGAGCAAACGGG
rnacentral:rRNA from 1 species